rnacentral:rRNA from 1 species
UUCCGGUUGAUCCUGCCGGACCUGACUGCUAUCGGAUUGAUACUAAGCCAUGCGAGUCAUUGUAGCAAUACAAGGCAGACGGCUCAGUAACGCGUAGUCAACCUACCUUAUGGACAGGGAUAACCUCGGGAAACUGAGAAUAAUACCAGAUAGAACAUUAUGCCUGGAAUGGUUUAUGUUUCAAAUAAUUUAUUGCCGUAAGAUGGGACUGCGGCCUAUCAGUUUGUUGGUGAGGUAAUGGCCCACCAAGACUAUUACAGGUACGGGCUCUGAGAGGAGUAGCCCGGAGAUGGGUACUGAGACACGGACCCAGGCCCUAUGGGGCGCAGCAGGCGAGAAAACUUUGCAAUGUGCGAAAGCACGACAAGGUUAAUCCGAGUGGUUUCUGCUAAAGGAACCUUUUGUUAGUCGUAGAACCACUGACGAAUAAGGGGUGGGCAAGUUCUGGUGUCAGCCGCCGCGGUAAAACCAGCACCUCAAGUGGUCAGGAUGAUUAUUGGGCCUAAAGCAUCCGUAGCCUGCUUUGUAAGUUUUCGGUUAAAUCCAUAUGCUUAACAUAUGGGCUGCCGGGAAUACUGCAAAGCUAGGGAGUGGGAGAGGUAGACGGUACUCGGUAGGAAGGGGUAAAAUCCUUUGAUCUAUUGAUGACCACCUGUGGCGAAGGCGGUCUACCAGAACACGUCCGACGGUGAGGGAUGAAAGCUGGGGGAGCAAACCGGAUUAGAUACCCGGGUAGUCCCAGCUGUAAACUAUGCAAACUCGGUGAUGCAUUGGCUUGAUGCCAAUGCAGUGCCGCAGGAAGCCGUUAAGUUUGCCGCCUGGGAAGUACGUACGCAUGUAUGAAACUUAAAGGAAUUGGCAGGGGAGCACCACAACGGGUGAAGCCUGCGGUUCAAUUGGAGUCAACGCCGGAA